rnacentral:rRNA from 1 species
UACGUAGGGUGCGAGCGUUGUCCGGAAUUAUUGGGCGUAAAGAGCUUGUAGGCGGUUUGUCGCGUCUGCUGUGAAAAUCCGGGCUCAACCCCGGACUUGCAGUGGGUACGGGCAGACUAGAGUGUGGUAGGGGAGACUGGAAUUCCUGGUGUAGCGGUGAAAUGCGCAGAUAUCAGGAGGAACACCGAUGGCGAAGGCGGUUCUCUGGGCCUGUACUGACGCUGAGGAGCGAAAGCGUGGGGAGCGAACAGG